rnacentral:rRNA from 1 species
UACGAGAGGCCCAAACGUUAUUCGGAAUUACUGGGCUUAAAGAGUUCGUAGGCGGCGCAGAAAGUAGGGUGUGAAAGCCCUCGGCUCAACCGAGGAAUUGCGCUCUAAACUACUGUGCUUGAGGAAGCUAGAGGUGAGCGGAACUGAUGGUGGAGCGGUGAAAUGCGUUGAUAUCAUCAGGAACACCGGAGGCGAAGGCGGCUCACUGGGGCUUUUCUGACGCUGAGGCGCGAAAGCCAGGGGAGCAAACGGG